rnacentral:rRNA from 1 species
UACAGAGGGUGCGAGCGUUGUCCGGAAUCACUGGGCGUAAAGGGCGCGUAGGCGGCUUGAUAAGCGUGCGGUGAAAGCCCGGGGCUCAACCCCGGGUCGGCCGUGCGAACUGUCGAGCUGGAGCACUGUAGAGGCAGGCGGAAUUCCGGGUGUAGCGGUGGAAUGCGUAGAGAUCCGGAGGAAGACCGGUGGCGAAGGCGGCCUGCUGGGCAGUUUCUGACACUGAGGCGCGACAGCGUGGGGAGCAAACAGG